rnacentral:rRNA from 1 species
UACGAAGGGGGCUAGCGUUGUUCGGAAUUACUGGGCGUAAAGCGCACGUAGGCGGAUAUUUAAGUCAGGGGUGAAAUCCCGCGGCUCAACCCCGGAACUGCCUUUGAUACUGGGUAUCUAGAGUCCAGAAGAGGUGAGUGGAAUUCCGAGUGUAGAGGUGAAAUUCGUAGAUAUUCGGAGGAACACCAGUGGCGAAGGCGGCUCACUGGUCUGGUACUGACGCUGAGGUGCGAAAGCGUGGGGAGCAAACAGG